rnacentral:rRNA from 1 species
UACGUAGGGGGCAAGCGUUGUCCGGAAUCAUUGGGCGUAAAGAGCGUGUAGGCGGCUUGGUAAGUCCGCUGUGAAAGUCCAGGGCUCAACCCUGGAAAGCCGGUGGAAACUGUCAAGCUUGAGUCCGGAAGAGGCGAGUGGAAUUCCUGGUGUAGCGGUGAAAUGCGUAGAGAUGUGGAGGAACACCAGUGGCGAAGGCGACUCUUUGGUCUGUAACUGACGCUGAGGCGCGAAAGCGUGGGGAGCAAACAGG